AUGUGUUAUAGAGAAAAAAUGAAGUUGCUUGCACAAGGUGAUGCAGAUACUGCCAUUGGGAUCAUGAUGACCAGAAAAGAGAGAGAUCCAAAUUUCUUCUUUGAGCACACCGUCGAUGAUGAAGGAAGGCUGAAAAACAUAUUCUGGUGUGAUUCUCAAUCACGUCGAGACUAUGUUGACUACGGUGAUGUGACAGUCUUCGACAGCACAUACAGGAUGAAUAGGUAUGGCAUGCCAUUUAUACCUUUUGUCGGUCUGAACAACCAUCGUCGCACCACGGUAUUCGGUUGUGCUCUUGUGUCUGACGAGACGGAAGAUACAUAUGUCUGGCUGCUUCAGACGCUUUUGAGUGCUCACUGUCAGAAGAGGCCCAGGUCAGUAAUUACUGAUGGAGAUGCAGCUAUGAUUAAGGCCAUAAGAAAGGUACUUUCGGAGGUUUGGCAUCGUCUUUGCUCG
rnacentral:rRNA from 1 species